rnacentral:lncRNA from 1 species
GGAUGGUGUGGAAUCUGAAAUCAAGUGAUACUGUUUCAUUGGUAAUAAUCUAAUUAUCUUCUGAGAUCUGUUUAUUUAUUUUUAUAGUUUUUUGUUGUGGAUUUGUAUGAUUUUGAAACUUGUAGAUCUGAAAAAGUAGUUAUGCUUGUGCACAAAUGUAUAGACAUUGGAAUAACUAAUUGUUCCCACUCACAUGAUAUAGAGAGAUACUUGUCUCUUUGAUAUGCUUGUAUUGUUAUGGAAAUUAACACAUGUUGAAUAUUUGCAGACAUAUAUGGUGCUUAAUUAUAUAUAUUAGGUUCAUACUUCAUUUCUUAUUGUAAUUUUUAUGAAUGAGUUCUUCAAGUCUGAGUUUAUCCAGAGAGAUAUUUUUCAAAGUACUUUUUCUUGUUUUUUUUUAGGUCAAGAGUUUUUCUUAUCUUGUUCAUUAGUUGUGAAUUAUCAUAAACUCAUGUUGUUUUCUGAUUUGUUAUGUUUAAUUUUGUGUUUGCUCUAUUCUUUAAAGCUUUAUUACUUAAUUUUAUUUCUUAUCUUGUUAUUACUUAUAUUUUUUUUUUUGACAAAAAUAAUAAUUGACAAAGUUAAAAAAUCUGAAAAAAAUCCUGUAUAAAAGAAUAAAUUUUUUAUUUAAGAUCUUAUUCAUAUUUUUAUAUUGAUUAAAUAAUUAAUCUAUCUAAUUUAUGUAUAAACUGAAUUCAUUGGAUAUUAAAUAAAUUUAAAAGGUAAGAUUUUAUUUAUAAUAGUGAUUAAAGGUGUAUUAUUUAAAUGGUUGACAAUUGUUUGGGAUUGAAAGGGUAGUUCAAUUAAUUUAAACUAGUUGAAUUAAAAGUUUAAAGUAUUUGAAGGUUCAUAAUUUAAUUCCCAACAAAGAUGUAAAUAUUAUACUUACAAUAUCAUUAAAAAAAUGUUUGUCUCAGCAUAGAUGCAUACUAUUUGCUAACGUACACAUUCACACAUGCAUUUGGUAAAUUAUAAUCUAAAAUUAAAAUUUAAUGUUUAUAGUUAUGAAAUCUGAAUUGAAGGGUCACUAAUGCACCACGUGAAUGUGUGAGUGAGUGCAUGAUUUGGAAGAGAAUGAAAAAUGGAAGUAGAUGAAGAAUUAAUGAGAAAUGAAGGCAGCAAUUUGAAUAUAAACUGAGAGUUAGCCCGUAGCAGCAGUUGACAGAGCAGAAUAUCAACACUUGGCAAACUAGCUACUAGCUAGCUGCGGCCCCUUCCACAACAAUGUCAUUCUUCUUUUAGCUGUGUUACCAUCCUAGGAUAUUUGAUCAAUGCAAUUCAUUACACUACUUGUCUUUCGGAUACUGUGUACAAUACUCUUUUCAUUUUUCUUCCCAAAUUUA